CUGGGUGGGAUCGGUGGACUUUGGAGCUCCGAAUACUUAGACUGAUUCUAGGGUCAUAAACUCAAGCUCCAAGAGAGUUUGUAUAAAUCCUGCCCACUCUUCCAGCCAUUAUUAAUCUGUUAUCAGCCGAGACUCCACCCCUCCGACCCCAACCCGGACCCGGCCGCGGUUUCUCCAAGUAGAGUAAAUUCUCGAAGACAGGAGCCUUUAUUCGAUCCUUUUAUUAACUUAACGGCGUCUGCACAUGACAAUGUCAGCAGUUUGUACAUGGGACUAUAAAGCGUUUAGCAGACUCCACAGAGAUGCUGCCCAGGAGAGAAAAAGAGUAAGGUCCACAUUCCUAAAAACUGAACAAGGAGAUGCUCUGAGAAGUGGAACCGAUUAUUCAGACUUCACAGAUUGAGGACCCUGCGCCCCAGGGAGCCAAGUGCAGUGCCCCAAAUCACAGAGCUGGAUCAGAGCCACGUUCUCUGUACCAAGAACAGCUUCUUUCCAUUGCACCAUGGCAGCAUGGCAGUCAACACCUUCCCUCGGAAUAGUAAUCAGUAAGUCUAAAAGGGCGAAGGUUCUGGGCCUGCUGCACCAGCCCGGUGCACAAGAGACAAUGCCUUAUAUGUAUUGGAACUCAAGUAUAACAUGUUGUCACUUGUAAAUGAAGAGAGUCACUGUCAGUAGAACAUGCCUUUUGAGUUGGGGAGCUCCCAGCAAACAGUCAGGCUCUGAAAGGCUGUAUUUAUUAAGUCCGAAGCGACAUCUACCAGCUACUGUAUGCAAUUCUCUGAAGUGUCACAAAAGAAUUACCAAUACCAGCAGGGUUGGUUUUGUCUCCUCUUGUUUCUUUUCAACCAAU